GGAAGAUGUAACGGGGCUAAACCAUGCACCGAAGCUGCGGCAGCGACGCUUAUGCGUUGUUGGGUAGGGGAGCGUUCUGUAAGCCGUUGAAGGUGUCCUGUGAGGGGUGCUGGAGGUAUCAGAAGUGCGAAUGCUGACAUAAGUAACGAUAAUGCGGGUGAAAAGCCCGCACGCCGGAAGACCAAGGGUUCCUGUCCAACGU
rnacentral:rRNA from 1 species